rnacentral:rRNA from 1 species
UACGUAGGGGGCAAGCGUUGUCCGGAUUUAUUGGGCGUAAAGAGCGUGUAGGCGGCUUGGUAGGUCUCGCGUCAAAACCUGAGGCUCAACCUCAGUUCGCGUGGGAAACCACCUAGCUAGAGUCCGGAAGAGGAGAACGGAAUUCCCAGUGUAGCGGUGAAAUGCGCAGAUAUUGGGAAGAACACCAGUGGCGAAGGCGGUUCUCUGGGGACGGUACUGACGCUGAGACGCGAAAAGCGUGGGGGAGCGAACAGG